rnacentral:rRNA from 1 species
GAUGAACGCUGGCGGCGUGCCUAAUACAUGCAAGUCGAGCGAACGGACGAGGAGCUUGCUCCUCUGACGUUAGCGGCAGACGGGUGAGUAACACGUGGAUAACCUACCUAUAAGACUGGGAUAACUUCGGGAAACCGGAGCUAAUACCGGAUAAUAUAUUGAACCGCAUGGUUCAAUAGUGAAAGACGGUUUUGCUGUCACUUAUAGAUGGAUCCGCGCCGCAUUAGCUAGUUGGUAAGGUAACGGCUUACCAAGGCGACGAUGCGUAGCCGACCUGAGAGGGUGAUCGGCCACACUGGAACUGAGACACGGUCCAGACUCCUACGGGAGGCAGCAGUAGGGAAUCUUCCGCAAUGGGCGAAAGCCUGACGGAGCAACGCCGCGUGAGUGAUGAAGGUCUUCGGAUCGUAAAACUCUGUUAUUAGGGAAGAACAAAUGUGUAAGUAACUAUGCACGUCUUGACGGUACCUAAUCAGAAAGCCACGGCUAACUACGUG